rnacentral:rRNA from 1 species
GAUGAACGCUGGCGGCGUGCUUAACACAUGCAAGUCGAACGCACCUUCGGGUGAGUGGCGGACGGGUGAGUAACGCGUGGGAACCUGCCCUCAGGAGGGGGAUAACGGCUGGAAACGGCCGCUAAUACCCCAUAUGCCGAGGGGUGAAACGAAUUUCGCCUGAGGAUGGGCCCGCGUCUGAUUAGCUAGUUGGUGGGGUAAAGGCCUACCAAGGCGACGAUCAGUAGCUGGUCUGAGAGGAUGAUCAGCCACACUGGGACUGAGACACGGCCCAGACUCCUACGGGAGGCAGCAGUGGGGAAUUUUCCGCAAUGGGCGAAAGCCUGACGGAGCAACGCCGCGUGAGGGAUGAAGGCCUCUGGGCUGUAAACCUCUUUUCUCAAGGAAGAAGAACUGACGGUACUUGAGGAAUAAGCCACGGCUAAUUCCGUGCCAGCCGCCGCCGUAAAAC